GGGGGCGGUCAUAGGGAGUGGGGAAACACCCGCUCUCAUCCGAACGCGGAAGUUAAGCCC
rnacentral:rRNA from 1 species